rnacentral:Y_RNA from 14 species
GGCAGGUCCGAAGCUGGUGAGUUAUCUCAAGUGAUUGCUCACAGUUAGUUAAAGAUAGAACCCCAUGUCUUAUGCUCCCCUUUUAACUAGUUCACUGGAGUAGUCUAAG